AUGGUACGAAAGACAAUCGCAGGGGAAGCCCCUUGAGGAAAGUCCGGACUCCUAACGAAAAGAGCGCCGAGCGCAAGCUCGGAAGGCGCAAGCCUAUGGAAAGUGCCACAGAAAACUACCGCCUAUCAGGCAUCUUUGUGUCUACUAGGUAAGGGUGAAAACGUGUGGUAAGAGCAUACGACGCGUACUAGUAAUAGUAUGCGGGGGCAAACCCCGCUCGGAGCAAGGCCAAACAGUGUAUUCAGUUUUUUCGUUCUGUCAGAAUGGCAACAUUCUGAGAUACAUACACGGGUAGGCCGCCUAGAUACAUGAUUGCCGCCAGAGUAUUCUGGUACAGAAUCCGGCUUAUUGACUACCAAAAAC
rnacentral:RNase_P_RNA from 2 species